GAUAAUACCCAUAAUAGAUUUUGUUUGUUCUUUUUCUUUUAUGCAUCAUCAUAGCAUAUGCAUCAUAUCAUCCAUGUUUUUGACAAAAUUAUUUUAUAAACCCCACUUAUUUUGUUUCUUUCUCUCAUAAGGUUUUUAUAUUGAACCCUCCCUCUAUUUUCUUAUUUUUAAAUAAACACAAAGCUAUACUACAAAUAUUUUGGAUAUUUUACAAAACCUAAUUUUAAAUUUUUCCUAAGGUUUAUAAAGUUCCUCCAAAUGUUUUUGAAAUUCCUUCUCUGGAACCUUUUCCUUUUCUCUUUGCCUUCAAGGAAGAAUCAUCGAGAAGAAAAUCAAAACAGUAUGAAGAGAAGAAGAAGCCAGCCAGACCAUUUAAUCUCCACCUCCACCAUCUGGACGAGUCACGCAGCCUUGCUUCCUUCUUGGUUGUCCUCACGCCAUGGACCAAACCAGCCACCACCACUUUGCUUUCUGCCUCCAUAUCCUCAUCCUGGACCUUUGCAACCACCAAGCACCCUCGAGCACGCCUCUCCCCACCUUCUUCCUCUCCACGCAAGUCAACAAGCGGAAGAAAAUAUCUUCACACAGAAGCUCAGAAAAUACCGGCACCCAUCACCGUCGCGCCGACGUUUCCGGCCACCUCUUCUCAAGCCGAGGGCACCUCCAGCUCCGUCGUGCGACCCUGAUCCUCCCCGACACACGCGCGCAGCGAAUCGAUCAAGGAAUCGUCGAGUUCUUCGUCUACAUCAUCUCCGACCGCCACGUUCCGGCGACGAUUCCGGCCGCCUCCGAGCUCCUCCGCCCCCGUUGACGUGUUCGCCAGCUUCCCGGUGAGGUCAUCCUUCUUUUCCCCUCCUCCCUCGACACAUAUGAUCCCGUUUCCGCGACGCCAAAAUCUGACGAAACUGUCGCCUUUGUUUGCACGAGUGCAUCUUCGCCAUGGUCACCACCGCGCUCAUCUGCUUCCCCGGCGUCGUCUCACGUCCCCGAGCGGUUCCUCUUCACCAUCAAGCCCCUGGCAUUUGCUUCUUCCCGGAUAGGAUCACGAAGCGUUGAUGUGAGAUACGACGAGUUCUCCGACAAGUUCUUCUGCAGCUUUUCACAGGCGAGCCCACCCCUUCACCUAUUUUACUUUUACAUGCUCUUUUGAUCUAUUGCUAUCCUUAUGUUGCGAUUCUGUUGUGUCACGUGUCCUAUCCACCUGUUACCUAUAUGUCCGAGAUACACCUCCUCGCCCUGCCUAUUGUUUGUUGUUUGCCAGCUUUGCGAGUCGUAGGCGAGUUUAGGGUCUUGUUGAUAUCUCGAGAUGUUCGGGAUAUCUUGUUGGGAGGUUAUCACAUGCUAUAUCUUUUGUUGGAGAUAAUCACACUUUACUUUAUUGUUAACAACUAAAAUUGUAAGCAGAGGCAUCUGUGAGCCCCUUUGCGAAAGCAUCGGAACUUUGACUCGCUAAUGUCCCCUAGGACCCGAGUUCUUGUUAUCUGUUCCGAGAUUGAGCGCUCUACCCGUACGUGGGGGAAUGGGACCCCCAUCACCCACUACCUUUCCUCGAGUCUGUUUAUUGGGAGCCACAACCUUGGUUUUAUUUGCCCAUAUGCACGAUGCACGAUUUACUUCUUGUUGCCUUCGGGUGUUUAUAUUUUGUACUGUACUCAUAUUGCGUGCCGACUUAUCCUUGGCCGGUCGUUAGUGCCCGCCUUGGACGCCAUCGCAACCUCUGGGUCCGUAUCGGAGUACGGCCGAACUUCGUCACGGGUAGCUUAGUUGGGUGGCUCCCAUUAAACUUUCUCUUGCAUUGGGAACGGUCUUGAUGUGAGACUCCACCUGUAGUAAGUGGGUUCGAGCAUGCGUAUGGUUACAUUUGGGCAACCCCUGCAGGGUGUACAUCUUAUCGAUAAGCCGUGUCCGCGGUUAUGGACGACUUGGAAUUGUAUAGCUUGAUCAUAGAACAACUUACACCUUAUUUCCUGUUGUUAAUAAUUUGCUAAUAAAACCUUUUCAAAAAGUGUGUGUGCCUUUGCAAUACCUCUUGGCGAAGGGGGAUCGCAUCGGUUGUGUUAUGAUUGCAGAGUAUAGAACUGCUAGAUUAUGCGCUCUCUCACCUUUUCUAAUAGACGAAUGUUGUAGCGUGUCUCUAUUGGUUAGUUGCUUUGCUGCCGCUAAACUCCACAUAUAGCCGGGUGAAGUUUAUACCGCCCACC